AUGAACGCUGGCGGCGUGCCUAAUACAUGCAAGUCGCGCGAACAGACGAGGAGCUUGCUCCUCUGACGUUAGCGGCGGACGGGUGAGUAACACGUGGAUAACCUACCUAUAAGACUGGGAUAACUUCGGGAAACCGGAGCUAAUACCGGAUAAUAUAUUGAACCGCAUGGUUCAAUAGUGAAAGACGGUUUUGCUGUCACUUAUAGAUGGAUCCGCGCCGCAUUAGCUAGUUGGUAAGGUAACGGCUUACCAAGGCAACGAUGCGUAGCCGACCUGAGCGGGUGAUCGGCCACACUGGACCUGAGACACGGUCCAGACUCCUACGGGAGGCAGCAGUAGGGAAUCUUCCGCAAUGGGCGAAAGCCUGACGGAGCAACGCCGCGUGAGUGAUGAAGGUCUUCGGAUCGUAAAACUCUGUUAUUAGGGAAGAACAAAUGUGUAAGUAACUAUGCACGUCUUGACGGUACCUAAUCAGAAAGCCACGGCUAACUACGUG
rnacentral:rRNA from 1 species